GUCUGGGUGGUGUAGUUGGUUAUCACGCUAGUCUCACACACUAGAGGCCCCCAGUUAGAACCUCGGCCCAAACA